AAAAUAGACGGUAAGACAGAAAUCAGUCAUUCGUAGAAUGCGAUUUCGUCGUCGCACCUCCGUCAGGCUGACUAGGUUGGUCACGACAAAAGGAGUGGACAUCCAGUCAGCUACGACGCAAAAGUUAAAGAUUAAAGAUUAAAGAAUAGAAAGCUUGGGAAAAUCCCAAGCUUUUUGA
rnacentral:sRNA from 1 species